ensembl:lncRNA
CACGUUACAGGUAUGUUUUUUUAAUUACAGCUUUUACAAUCAUUAUCAUUAUUGUUAUCAUAUUAUAUUCAAUUAUCAUCACUACUCUCCAAUAAUAUGAAUUUGAAAUCAUAACACAAUUUUGUUUUUCAAAAUGUACACAUACAAGUAGCAUAUCUUAAAUGUCCAUAAUUUAAAACAUAUUUUCCUUUGUUCAACCUAAAAUGAAAUUACAGUCAGUCUUAAAACUAAGUAUGAAAUGAACAUACAGUUUAAUACACACACAUACAUACUGUACAUACAUACAUACGUACAUACAAUAGCAGUUAUCAUAAAAAAUGAUAAAAAUAAAAUACACACAUUUUACAAAGUCCUGACCCACGCUUUCACAUCAUUAGAUGAUUGAUAUCAUGACGUUCACUCUAAAAUGGUUGAUUUUGGCAUGCAUAUUAACACAAAUGCUCUCUAACUAAACUGUUUUUUCCCCUCAGUUUGAAUAGGAUUUUGUCAUAAAGCACUUUGCUAAUUGUCUCAUUGUCUGUCCUAUUCACAUUUGUGCAUCUCAUGUCUGUUAUGGCUUAAGAACAUACAUUUGACUCCCCCCUCAGUGUAUAACCACCUAUAAGAGCCUCCCUCUUCCCAGACUGUACUGUAGUGUGAUGUUCCUAUAGGCAGAGUAUGUUCUAUUAUCAGUCUAAAUCAUAGUCAGAUCAGCUGAAAAGAUGUCGUCAUUCUCUUGAUCCGAAAAGGAAUGCAUUUUUUUUUCCAGUUUUAAAAACUAUAAAUUCAUUGUGUCAAUAUUGCCAUCUUACACUCAAAACAGAAGAUGAAUUCACGAUAGGCAAUGGUCACUUUCUACAGGCCACUUUCUACAGAAUCAAACAGCGUCAUGCCACAACUAUGGAUCAAGAUGAGAGAGAGAGAGAGAGAAAGGGAGAGAAAGGGAGAAAGAGAGAAACUGAUGGGUAAACAGACAUUCACUCAUUAUUUUAUCAUCUUUUCACAAAUCAUUCACUCAGUGUCUUUGAUUAUUCGAGACACGCGGCUCGAACGUUGUUGGUCAUCUUCUAGUGUCCAUGUUUGUUUUUUGUUCCUCGGUUUUUUUUUUCUUCAAAAAUGUGGUGUUCUGUUCUUUUUUUUUCCUUGGGUUGGGAUGGAGGUGGGCUUCU